UCUGAACAUCUAGUCUGAAAAGCCUCUAAAACUAUCUAAACUAUGGAGUUGAUAGGACAAUCCCCCAACUAACUCCGACUACUGAAAAUACUGAAUCUAAUGUAAUAAGGAAAUAAGUACAAUCCUCGAAUGAUGAGGAAUCACUGCUAAGUCUACUAUUGUUGGCUGAAUCUGAGCUGCUAAGGGUGCUCUGGAGCCCAAGAGUCUGAACCUAUGGUAUGAGACACCAUAGCGCAAGAGAAAAGCAUGAGUCAAUAUGUGAGAAUGUAUUGGUAUGCUAGAUGAGGUAAGGCUGAAUGCAGGGGUUCAUAUGUAUAAACAAUACCGACUGAAUAACAUAAGUAUGCUGAAUAUGGAUACAUGCAUAAAUGUACAAACUAUAACGGAAAUCGUAGUGACACUGAAUACUGAGUUCUAAUAAUUGGAAUACUAAUAAUUGAGUUUACUAAUACUAAAUUUCUGAUAAAUGAGUCUACUAAUACCAUAUUAUUGAUAACUACUGUGGGGUCAAUCCUACCUAAUGGGUGGACCCAGAGAAUAGGCCUAUCUAGCGGGUGAUCUCUGAAUCUACUGAUGUAUUACUAAUAAUUAUUAUGGGGAUGGUCCUAUCUAAUGGGUGACCCUGAGAUCAGGUCUACCUAGAGAGUGAUAUCUAAAUAUACUAUUGUAUUACUGAUUGACUGUAUGUAAUAGUACCAAACUGAGUUCUACUCUGAAGACUGAGACUGAAACUGUGGGAGGUAAUCUUCUAACCGAUGUGCCUUUUUCUAGAUAAUUUGGGG
rnacentral:lncRNA from 1 species